rnacentral:rRNA from 1 species
GAACCUUACCAGGUCUUGACAUCCCGAUGCUAUUUCUAGAGAUAGAAAGUUACUUCGGUACAUCGGUGACAGGUGGUGCAUGGUUGUCGUCAGCUCGUGUCGUGAGAUGUUGGGUUAAGUCCCGCAACGAGCGCGACCCCUAUUGUUAGUUGCCAUCAUUCAGUUGGGCACUCUAGCGAGACUGCCGGUAAUAAACCGGAGGAAGGUGGGGAUGACGUCAAAUCAUCAUGCCCCUUAUGACCUGGGCUACACACGUGCUACAAUGGUUGGUACAACGAGUUGCGAGUCGGUGACGGCGAGCUAAUCUCUUAAAGCCAAUCUCAGUUCGGAUUGUAGGCUGCAACUCGCCUACAUGAAGUCGGAAUCGCUAGUAAUCGCGGAUCAGCACGCCGCGGUCGAAUACGUUCCGGGCCUU